rnacentral:rRNA from 1 species
GUGCCAGCAGCCGCGGUAAUACGUAGGGGGCGAGCGUUGUCCGGAAUUAUUGGGCGUAAAGCGCGCGCAGGCGGUCUUUUAAGUCUGAUGUGAAAGCCCACGGCUUAACCGUGGAGGGUCAUUGGAAACUGGAGGACUUGAGUACAGAAGAGGAGAGUGGAAUUCCACGUGUAGCGGUGAAAUGCGUAGAGAUGUGGAGGAACACCAGUGGCGAAGGCGACUCUCUGGUCUGUAACUGACGCUGAGGUGCGAAAGCGUGGGUAGCGAACAGGAUUAGAUACCCUGGUAGUCC